rnacentral:rRNA from 1 species
UCGAGAAUCUUCCGCAAUGGGCGAAAGCCUGACGGAGCGACGCCGCGUGCGGGAUGAAGGCCUUCGGGUUGUAAACCGCUGUCGAAGGGGAGCAAAUUUGAGCGAUCCUUGGAGGAAGCACAGGCUAAAUUCGUGCCAGCAGCCGCGGUAAUACGAAUUGUGCGAACGUUAUUCGGAAUCACUGGGCUUAAAGGGUGCGUAGGCGGUCAUGUAGGUCUGAUGUGAAAUCCCACGGCUCAACCGUGGAACUGCGUUGGAAACCCCAUGGCUGGAGUAGGACAGAGGUGAGCGGAACAGAUGGUGGAGCGGUGAAAUGCGUUGAUAUCAUCUGGAACACCGGUGGCGAAAGCGGCUCACUGGGUCCUAACUGACGCUGAUGCACGAAAGCCAGGGGAGCAAACGGGAUUAGAUACCCAAGUAGUCCCUGAGCGGGCUGGCAAGGCGCAU